rnacentral:rRNA from 1 species
GAUGAACGCUGGCGGCGUGCCUAAUACAUGCAAGUCGAGCGAAGCGGGGAGGGGUGAGUAACACGUGGAUAACCUCCUAUAAGACUGGGGUAAAUUCGGGAAACCGGUGCUAAACCGGCUACUUAUAGAUGGAUCCGUGCUGCAUUAGCUAGUUGGUAGGGUAACGGCUUACCAAGGCAACGAUGCAUAGCCGACCGGAGAGGGUGAUCAGCCACACUGGGACUGAGACACGGUCCAGACUCCUACGGGAGGCAGCAGUAGGGAAUCUUCCGCAAUGGGCGAAAGCCUGACGGAGCAACGCCGCGUGAGUGAAGAAGGUCUUCGGAUCGUAAAACUCUGUUAUUAGGGAAGCGGUACCUAAUCAGAAAGCCACGGCUAACUACGUGCCAGCAGCCGCGGUAAUUC